rnacentral:rRNA from 1 species
GAUGAACGCUGGCGGCAUGCCUAAUACAUGCAAGUCGAACGAGAGGAAGGAAAGCUUGCUUUUCUGAAUCUAGUGGCGAACGGGUGAGUAACACGUAGGUAACCUGCCCAUGUGCCCGGGAUAACUUCUGGAAACGGAUGCUAAAACCGGAUAGGUAGCAGACAAGCAUUUGACUGCGAUUAAAGUGGAUAAGGUCAUGAACAUGGAUGGACCUGCGGUGCAUUAGCGAGUUGGUGAGGUAACGGACCACCGAGGCGACGAUGCAUAGCCGGCCUGAGAGGGCGGACGGCCACAUUGGGACUGAGACACGGCCCAAACUCCUACGGGAGGCAGCAGUAGGGAAUUUUCGUCAAUGGGGGGAACCCUGAACGAGCAAUGCCGCGUGAGUGAGGAAGGUCUUCGGAUCGUAAAGCUCUGUUGUAAGAGAAAAACGACAUUCAUAGGGAAUGAUGAGUGAGUGAUGGUAUCUUACCAGAAAGUCACGGCUAACUACGUGCCAGCCGCCGCGGUAA